CUUGCUGUGUGGAUAAGGCAUGCAAGUCGAACGCAUUUAGUUGCGUGGCGAACGAGGUAGUAACACGUAGGAACGUGCCCCCGAGUCAGGGAUAACCUGGAGAAAUCCAGAAUAAUACCUGAUAGUCCCA
rnacentral:rRNA from 1 species